rnacentral:rRNA from 1 species
GGGCCCGCACAAGCGGUGGAGUAUGUGGUUUAAUUCGAUGCAACGCGAAGAACCUUACCAGGGUUUGACAUCCUGCGAAUCUCUUGGAAACGAGAGAGUGCCUUCGGGAGCGCAGUGACAGGUGGUGCAUGGCUGUCGUCAGCUCGUGUCGUGAGAUGUUGGGUUAAGUCCCGCAACGAGCGCAACCCUUGAUCUUAGUUGCCAGCAUUCAGUUGGGCACUCUAAGGUGACUGCCGGUGACAAACCGGAGGAAGGUGGGGAUGACGUCAAAUCAUCAUGCCCCUUAUGACCUGGGCUACACACGUGCUACAAUGGACGGUACAAAGGGCUGCAAACCCGCGAGGGGGAGCCAAUCCCAGAAAACCGUUCUCAGUUCGGAUUGCAGGCUGCAACUCGCCUGCAUGAAGCCGGAAUCGCUAGUAAUCGCGGAUC